AAAAGGCAUUCAUUUCACCUGCUUGCGCAAUCAUAGCCUGGCCACCAUAUUGGAUAAAGAAGGAUUUAGAACAAGAAAAAUCUGUAAUCAUGGCUGCAGCAAUGUUUGUGUAUGGCCGUGUAAAUUUGAGGUUGAACAACCCACACAUGGUAGAAGAAGAAGUUGGCACGUUCUACCUGGCCAACAAAGAGCUGACCAUGUUUGCUGUCCGCCAGGCUAUUGAGAGGAGAGAACCUGACAUCCGGCUAGCCGACCCAAGGGUGGGGCAGGAGUUCCAGGAUGGCUACCUACUGGUUCCUGUGAUCUUCCAUUCAAAGCUGGGCUACCAGUACUUCUCCUGCAUCUCCAAAGGAGACUACCUCAAGGAAAAAAUGAAGGAAGAGUUUGGGAAAAUUGGCUAUAAGGAGCCCUUCAAUGUAGGCGUGGAGAAAUGGGAGUUACCAGAGAGGCCUAAGCCACAGAACAAAGUUGUUAAGUGGCUGACGACCUUGCCCCAACAGAAUAUGAUGUAUGAGCCCAGCCAGACAGCAUCGGUGGCUGACCCAUGGGAUAUCCUGGGCUGUUCUCCAGUCAGAGCUGGAGAUGACAGCAAUACAUCUGCCAUGCUAGCCAACUCUGGGAGGGCAGCUCCACCAGUGGCCACAGUCAACCCAUCUCCUCGUCCUAACAACACUCUGGGACCUUUGGAUAUCGAGUGGGAAGAGGAGGACAACAACAAGGAGACAAACACUGAGUCAACCUACUGAGAAAGACCGGUCCAGGAGUGUCGAAAGCUCUAGCCUAGAAAAGAGGAAGGAGAAGAAGAAGAAUAUUCUCCAAGCAGAGGAUCUGCUUGGAGAUUAGAAGAAGAAGAGGAAGAGACUCACAGCUCAAACAAGUCAGACAUUAGCAGCAGCAUCCAACACAGGAUGCAGGUACAGGAACAAGUAUUUAAGGCUGAGCUACAGGAUGGCCCACUGAAGAUCACAUAAUCCUAUUUUUGUAACCUGGCGACUGACUGUUAGUGUUCACAGUAUUUGCCAAAACUUCAUUACUAACUCUAACAUCCAUUGACACCAACUUUAUCUGAUUUCUCUGAACUGUAACAAUCAUGACAUUCUUUAAUAUUACUGUCACAGUAACAAUGUCUGUGGUGAACAUAAAAUCCAUAAGAAAGUGAAACACUAAGUUACAAGAUAUUCAAUUUGACAACAGAAAUGUUUGUAAAACUUAGUAUACAUUUCAAAUUUUAUUAUAAUGUGUAUAUGAUGUGUCCUAAAGUUUGAAGCUUGCUGUGUGAUAGUCACAUACAUUGGAGCUGUAAUUAGUUAACAUUGUGUGUAAAAGGCUCUUAUGGGUUUGAAAUGUCUGUCAUUUCUUGGUAGAUUCCAUUAGUACACUGUAUGUACAAGUCAUGUAGGUAUACAGCUUUUCUUUUAUUUUACAGGCAUUUGCUUUGCAUUUAUGCCACAAAUAAAA